UAGAAGAAACAUGUCUCUGGUCACCGAAAGGAGAAGUCAGUGGACUCAGUGUGUGAGAUAUUGAAGCUAUUAAUGCAAAACUGGGCAAGUCUUUGCAUAUGGUGUCCAAAUCCACUCAGAUAAGAGCUACAGAGGAACAAGUCUGGAUAGAAAAAGCAGAUGAAAAGAUAUUAAAGAUGCAGAAAAGGAGACAAAGGAACUGUUGGUAAGGAAAGAGAACGAGUGUCCCCAGAGGCAAAAAGAGAAACGAAACAUCAACUAAGUGCUAAGAGUGGAAUGCUGCUCUUAGAAUCGAAACAAAACCCAAAGCAUCCCUAGGCGAAAUUCCAUCUGAGAAAUUAUUUUGGGAUAAUGUGACACUGUCUAUUUCAUAUGGAGGAGGACUUGGCCAGCAGAGGUUUUCUACCACUUGGGCAGAGUGAGUUAGAGCAACUGGCCUAUGUCAGCCACUGAACUACUGGAGCAGAUGGACCCUCCAGGCAGGCCAUUAUAGCUGCUCUCUUAGUAUGUUGAACUCUCACUUGGGAAGAAGUAGCAAACGGUUUCUAAUCGGCACACAGACUUAAAGAGAAAGAGGAAGAGUGUGAGACACAAGUCUUUCGUGUUUUUCCGAGGUAGUUUCUUUGUAGUUUCCCGUCAGUUGCUCUUUAAGAGAACUAGAGGGCUAAUUCUAUACUAGACAGCAAGCUUCUAAGCUGAAUAUGAAAACAACCAUUGUUCUUAGGAAUGUAUGCCUAGUCUGUUAAGGGAAUGGUCAAGUAUGCAACACCAGAGGUGGCUUUAGGCCUCAGUAACAGCAAUCCACCUCUAUAGAGUCUGAUGGCCAAGUAACUUACUUCCAAAUGGAAAAGGUUAAAUGGACCACCGAACAGGACCCCUUUGGUCAGUGACUGGAGCCCAGCAUUGGCAAUGCCAUCUGCAUCAUCUCUUCUCUCACCUGACUUAUCUAGCCAUCUCUACACCCACCAAAUGCCAUCCAGCUGUGGGACCAUGUCUGCGAUGAUGUGUAACAGAGACGAACAGUACCUGUCUAGACUGAAUGGGUAGCAGUCUUCAUUCUUGGUACUUGCUGCAUUGCCCAAAUCUUUUUUUUGUAACAUGUACUUAGACUAAUAGCUACAAAACAGUCAUUUCUCUAAAAUGAAAUGAUUCCUUCUCAGACAUGACCAUGUUUUUUUUUUUACACUGACUUCUGAAACAAAAACAAACCAAGUGUUUUGAGUGAGAGUCAA